UGUUAAGGCUUCUGCCAGUCUCACCAAUGUAAGAAGCCUCGCAGUCGGAGCAUUUGAUCUUGUAAACUGCUUCCUGUCUGUUGUUGGGUUCGUCCCUGUCUUUAAAGUUGGUCAGUAAGUGUCGUAACGUAAUUGUAGGUUUGUAGGCUACAGCGAUGUUGUAGGGCUGUAGGAUCCGUGAGAUGGUCUCGGAGGUUCCAAGUAAUCUGUCGGUAUGCGACGGAUUUCACUGCGAACGACAGUGUACAGAAAACCGACGCAUUACUUGACGAAUCAUCCUACAACCCGACUUCGCAGAGAGCCACGACUGUAAAGACUUUGACGAGACGAGCGCAACUAGUUUGUGACACACCGGACAGCUUACGUGACGAAAACAGAUACCUUGAACGUGUUUUUUACAAAAACGAAUACAACGCUGACUUUUUUAGAGGAAACAUUUACCAACCUACCGAAGCCGACGCAACGAACAGGAACCCAACACCUGUCCACUACAGUGAUAUACCUUACAUUAAGGGUACUUCUGAGACCAUCUGGCAGUAAGUUUCCUCCUCUUCCUCAAAAAAGCUCAGCUUUCUGCGCUUGUAAAAUCUACACUUUUUAUCGCAGGCAUACAAUUAACUAUGCUUAUAACUUUAUUUUCACGUGAUAGUUUUUCUCUUGAAGGGAAUGUAUGUCUGUUGCAUUUCUCUAAACAUCGCUCUCUUACAGCUAUGCUGCCUAGGACGUCUCUCGACUAAACCAUAUGGGUAUGCAAAGUGCUGCGGAUCACAGGCAUACCACCCAGCCUAUAAGAUAUGCUGUCAAGGAUAUCUCUCGCCUAGAACGUCGAAUGUUCAGUGCUGUGGAACAUACGCAUACAACCCAACCCAGAAGAAAUGUUGCGGCUCUGGAACCCAUGGAGUCCUCAUACUAAAGUUUGGCACCU